rnacentral:rRNA from 1 species
CCUACGGGAGGCAGCAGUGGGGAAUAUUGCACAAUGGGCGCAAGCCUGAUGCAGCCAUGCCGCGUGUGUGAAGAAGGCCUUCGGGUUGUAAAGCACUUUCAGCGGGGAGGAAGGCGGUGAGGUUAAUAACCUCAUCGAUUGACGUUACCCGCCGAGGAAGCACCGGCUAACUCCGUGCCAGCAGCCGCGGUAAUACGGAGGGUGCAAGCGUUAAUCGGAAUUACUGGGCGUAAAGCGCACGCAGGCGGUCUGUCAAGUCGGAUGUGAAAGCCCCGGGCUCAACCUGGGAACUGCAUUCGAAACUGGCAGGCUAGAGUCUUGUAGAGGGGGGUAGAAUUCCAGGUGUAGCGGUGAAAUGCGUAGAGAUCUGGAGGAAUACCGGUGGCGAAGGCGGCCCCCUGGACAAAGACUGACGCUCAGGUGCGAAAGCGUGGGGAGCAAACAGGAUUAGAUACCCCAGUAGUC